CCUACGGGGGGCAGCAGUGGGGAAUAUUGCGCAAUGGGGGCAACCCUGACGCAGCCAUGCCGCGUGAAUGAAGAAGGCCUUCGGGUUGUAAAGUUCUUUCGGUGACGAGGAAGGCGUGAUGUUUAAUAGGCAUCACGAUUGACGUUAAUCACAGAAGAAGCACCGGCUAACUCCGUGCCAGCAGCCGCGGUAAUACGGAGGGUGCAAGCGUUAAUCGGAAUAACUGGGCGUAAAGGGCACGCAGGCGGCUAUUUAAGUGAGGUGUGAAAUCUCCGGGCUUAACCUGGGAAUUGCAUUUCAGACUGGGUAGCUAGAGUACUUUAGGGAGGGGUAGAAUUCCACGUGUAGCGGUGAAAUGCGUAGAGAUGUGGAGGAAUACCGAAGGCGAAGGCAGCCCCUUGGGAAUGUACUGACGCUCAUGUGCGAAAGCGUGGGGAGCAAACAGGAUUAGAUACCCGUGUAGUC
rnacentral:rRNA from 1 species